AUUUUAUAUACCUUUUGAGCUGUGUAACUUAAUGUUUGGAUACUUGACAAUUUUAUUUUAUUUUGUAAUUGAUAAAACGUUGAUGUGUAUUAACGUUAGCUCAACCAUUUAUUUAUACUGUCCAGGAACAUGUGGUUAUAGUACUGUGGAGAAAUAAAUUGUCCAUGUUCACCAGCUUGUAAAAAUCUAGUGCAAGAGCUUAAACAUUAAAUAAAUGAUGAAAUGCAACAACAACAACAAAAAAUCAACACAAUGAUUUUUUUGUAAGACAGUUUUAUUGAGGUAUAAUCAACAUGUAGUAUGUAGCAUAAAUUUAAAGUAUACAACUUGAUAAGUUUUGAUAUAUAUAUAGGUACAUAUAUAUAUAUAUAUAUAUAUGAAGCCAUCAACACAAUUAAAAUAAUGAGUGUAAGUAUUAUCCCCCCAAAUUUGCUCAUGUCUCCUUUAAUUCCCGCUUCUCUCUGUUCCCGCGUCCCAUCUCUAGGCAACCAGUCAUCUACUUUCUGCAACUAUUAAUUAGUUUGCAUGUUCUAGAAUAUUAUCAGUGGACUUGUCCAAUGUGUACUCUUUUUAAAUCUAGCUUACUUUGCUCUGCAUAAUUGAGGUUCAUAUAUGUUGUUGCAUGUAUCCAUAGCUAGUUCCUUUUUAUUGUAGAGUAAUAUUCAUUGUGAGGGUAUACUUCUGUUUGUUUAUCCACUCACAUGUUGAUAAUAUAUUGGGUUGUUUGCAUUUUUUAAGUUGUGAAACAUGCAUGUGUAAGUCUUUGUAUGGAUAUACAUUUCAUUUCUUUUGGGUAGAUACUUAGGAGUAGGAUAGCUGGGUCAUAUGGUAGGAGCUUGGAGAAGGCAAUGGCACCCCACUCCAGUACUCUUGCCUGGAAAAUCCCAUGGGCGGAGUAGCCUGGUAGGCUGCAGUCCAUGGGGUUGCAAAGAGUUGGACAUGACUGAGCGACUUCACUCUCACUUUUCUCUUUCAUGCAUUGGAGAAGGAAAUGGCAACCCACUCCAGUGUUCCAGUGUUCUUGCCUGGAGAGUUCCAGGGACGGCAGAGCCUGGUGGGCUGCUGUCUAUGGGGUCGCGCGGAGUCGGACACGACUGAAGCAACUUAGCAGCAGCAGCAGCACGGAUUCAAAACCUCUGAGUGACAAAACUUCUGAAAGAGGAAGCGGUGGCAGCACGGGGCACCCUGCUGACCCAU
ensembl:lncRNA